rnacentral:rRNA from 1 species
AGUAGUUUGAUUCUGGCUCAGGAUGAACGCUGGCGGCGUGCUUAACACAUGCAAGUCGAAACGGAGUUUUUAAAUGGAAGUUUUCGGAUGGAAGUUUAGAAACUUAGUGGCGGACGGGUGAGUAACGCGUGGGUAACCUGCCUCAUACAGGGGGAUAACAGUUAGAAAUGACUGCUAACACCGCAUAAUAUAGCGAAACCGCAUGAUUUUGCUAUCAAAUAUUUAUAGGUAUGAGAUGGGCCCGCGUCUGAUUAGCUAGUUGGUGGGGUAAAAGCCUACCAAGGCGACGAUCAGUAGCCGGCUUGAGAGAGUGACCGGCCACAUUGGGACUGAGACACGGCCCAAACUCCUACGGGAGGCAGCAGGUGGGGAAUAUUGGACAAUGGGGGGAAACCCUGAUCCAGCCGACGCCGCGUGAGUGAAGAAGUAUUUCGGUAUGUAAAGCUCUAUUCAGCAGGGAAGAUAAUGACAGUACCUGACUAAAGAAGCCCCGGCUAACUACGUGCCAGCCGCCGC